rnacentral:rRNA from 1 species
GAUGAACGCUGGCGGCGUGCCUAAUACAUGCAAGUCGAGCGAACGGACGAGAAGCUUGCUUUUCUGAUGUUAGCGGCGGACGGGUGAGUAACACGUGGAUAACCUACCUAUAAGACUGGGAUAACUUCGGGAAACCGGAGCUAAUACCGGAUAAUAUUUUGAACCGCAUGGUUCAAAAGUGAAAGACGGUCUUGCUGUCACUUAUAGAUGGAUCCGCGCCGCAUUAGCUAGUUGGUAAGGUAACGGCUUACCAAGGCAACGAUGCAUAGCCGACCUGAGAGGGUGAUCGGCCACACUGGAACUGAGACACGGUCCAGACUCCUACGGGAGGCAGCAGUAGGGAAUCUUCCGCAAUGGGCGAAAGCCUGACGGAGCAACGCCGCGUGAGUGAUGAGGGUCUUCGGAUCGUAAAACUCUGUUAUUAGGGAAGAACAUAUGUGUAAGUAACUGUGCACAUCUUGACGGUACCUAAUCAGAAAGCCACGGCUAACUACGU